rfam:Stegodyphus mimosarum contig20216, whole genome shotgun sequence.
GCCUUUGUGGUGUAACGGUAACACACUCGACGCGUAUUCGAGAGGUCCAGGUUCGAGUCCCUGCGAGGGCA